rnacentral:rRNA from 1 species
CAGUCGCCACGGUAAUACGAAGGGGGCUAGCGUUGUUCGGAAUUACUGGGCGUAAAGCGCACGUAGGCGGAUAUUUAAGUCAGGGGUGAAAUCCCGCAGCUCAACUGCGGAACUGCCUUUGAUACUGGGUAUCUUGAGUAUGGAAGAGGUAAGUGGAAUUGCGAGUGUAGAGGUGAAAUUCGUAGAUAUUCGCAGGAACACCAGUGGCGAAGGCGGCUUACUGGUCCAUUACUGACGCUGAGGUGCGAAAGUGUGGGGAGCAAACAGGAUUAGAGACCCGCGUAGUCCCUGUCUCUUAUAC